rnacentral:rRNA from 1 species
UACGUAGGGUGCGAGCGUUAAUCGGAAUUAUUGGGCGUAAAGCGCGCGCAGGCGGUCUCUUAAGUCUGAUGUGAAAUCCCGUGGCUUAACCACGGGCGGUCAUUGGAAACUGGGGGACUUGAGUGCAGAAGAGAAGAGCGGAAUUCCACGUGUAGCGGUGAAAUGCGUAGAGAUGUGGAGGAACACCAGUGGCGAAGGCGGCUCUUUGGUCUGUAACUGACGCUGAGGCGCGAAAGCGUGGGGAGCGAACAGG